rnacentral:lncRNA from 1 species
CAGCUCUCAGGCCAACUCAUCAAACCUAGGUCUUGAGGGAAGAAAGCUCCUGUCUCUCGCAGCCCAGCUUCUCACGGAAAAACCCCCGGUUUCCAGUUCUGGGGUUUCCCAGCACAGAGCAACACUGCAGUUGGAAGCUCCUGCGGGUCAAAGAAUGUCUUCGGACCAGGGAAAGGCAAUAAGCCACCCACGUGCACGACUCCUUGGGGGGUCCUAGGAACAAGAUAGAGACAGCAAAGGGAUACAAAUAUGUAACAUUAAUUUAGCACCUACAGUGUCCAGGUAGAGAUUUCAUCUCAGUUAGCUCCUUUAUCCUUUAGACAAUCAAACAGCAGCUCCCAAUCCAGUCUGCACAGAGAACUUGUAAACAUGGUCAGGGGAUCUGGUUUCAUUGUUCUGGGUGGGCCGCUGGCAUAGUACUCCGUAAAUAUCCCCAGGGCAUUCGAAUGAGCAGCCAGGGGUGAGAAGUGGGGACUUAAGCAAUGCUUCUCAAACUUCCAUGUGCCUAGGAGUCAAUCUCUUGGAUCUUAUUAAAAUAUACAUUCCAAUUCAGCAGGGCUGUGCUUCUGCUUUUCUAACCAGUUCUCAGGCAAUGCCCAAUCUGCCUGCCCUUGAACCAGACUUUGAAGAGCAAGGGCGUAGCCCAUAACCUCCAAGGCAGCGAAGGCUGUUUGGUUCAUUGCUGGAUGCUUCUACCUCCAACAGUGCGUGAGCCAAGUAGCCUCAGAAUAAAUAUUUGCCAAAGGUGUAAAGAAAUGAAAGAGGCUUAGAGGCAGGCGUGGCUGGCUAUGGUUUGAGCUGGGGGCGUGUAUGCAAGAAGUUACUUAGUACCUCCUUCACUCUGAUUCUCACCUGAAAGAUGAGAGCGAUGAUAUUUUUAAUUCCAAAGGAGGAUUAAAUGAGAUAAUGUGCAGACUGGUUGUAGGGGUAUUAAAAGGAUUGUUUAAUUUUUUAGGUAUGAUAGUAGAUCAUUUUUUUGACCAGAAGUAAGACAUAGUGAAGUAUUUACAGGUGAAAUGACACAGUGUCUGGGGUUGGCUUUAGAUAUUCCAGCUGAGAGGGAGAGAGGGAAGAAGACAGAGAAGGAGGAAGAAGAAGACGAAAGAAAGAAGGGAGGAUGGUGAAAACACAGCAAUGUCCGUCAACACUAAAAUUGGGGACGGACACAGGAGGUCCAUCCCUAUUCUAUUUUUACCUACAUUUGAACAUUUCCACAAUAAAAGGUUAACAA